rnacentral:rRNA from 1 species
UACGUAGGGGGCAAGCGUUGUCCGGAUUUACUGGGCGUAAAGAGCGCGCAGGCGGUCGUGUAAGUCGGGGGUGAAAGCCCCCGGCUCAACUGGGGAGGGUCACGCGAUACUGAUCGACUCGAAGGCAGGAGAGGGUAGUGGAAUUCCCGGUGUAGUGGUGAAAUGCGUAGAUAUCGGGAGGAACACCAGUGGCGAAGGCGACUACCUGGCCUGUUUCUUGACGCUGAGGCGCGAAAGCUAGGGGAGCAAACGGG